GAUGAACGCUAGCGGCAGGCUUAAUACAUGCAAGUCGAGGGGCAGCGCAGUGUAGCAAUACAUAGGCGGCGACCGGCAAACGGGUGCGGAACACGUACAGAACCUUCCUUCGAGCGGGGAAUAGCCCAGAGAAAUUUGGAUUAAUACCCCAUAGUAUAGUGGAGAGGCAUCUCUUUACUAUUAAAGUAUUAUUCACUUGAAGAUGGCUGUGCGGCUGAUUAGGUAGGUUGGCGGGGUAACGGGCCCACCCAAGCCUGCGAUCAGUAACUGGUGUGAGAGCACGACCAGUCACACGGGCACUGAGACACGGGCCCGACUCCUACGGGAGGCAGCAGUAAGGAAUAUUGGUCAAUGGACGAAAGU
rnacentral:rRNA from 1 species